rnacentral:rRNA from 1 species
UACGUAGGGGGCUAGCGUUGUCCGGAAUUAUUGGGCGUAAAGGGCUCGUAGGCGGUCUGUCGCGUCGGUAGUGAAAACUCAGGGCUUAACCCUGAGCCUGCUUCCGAUACGGGCAGACUAGAGGUAUGCAGGGGAGAAUGGAAUUCCUGGUGUAGCGGUGAAAUGCGCAGAUAUCAGGAGGAACACCAGUGGCGAAGGCGGUUCUCUGGGCCGAUACUGACGCUGAGGAGCGAAAGCGUGGGGAGCGAACAGG